rnacentral:rRNA from 1 species
UGGGGAAUUUUGGACAAUGGGCGCAAGCCUGAUCCAGCCAUGCCGCGUGUCUGAAGAAGGCCUUCGGGUUGUAAAGGACUUUUGUCAGGGAAGAAAAGGACAGGGUUAAUACCUCUGUUUGAUGACGGUACCUGAAGAAUAAGCACCGGCUAACUACGUGCCAGCAGCCGCGGUAAUACGUAGGGUGCGAGCGUUAAUCGGAAUUACUGGGCGUAAAGCGCACGCAGGCGGUCUGUCAAGUCGGAUGUGAAAUCCCCGGGCUCAACCUGGGAACUGCAUUCGAAACUGGCAGGCUAGAGUCUUGUAGAGGGGGGUAGAAUUCCAGGUGUAGCGGUGAAAUGCGUAGAGAUCUGGAGGAAUACCGGUGGCGAAGGCGGCCCCCUGGACAAAGACUGACGCUCAGGUGCGAAAGCGUGGGGAGCAAACAGGAUUAGAUACCCUGGUAGUCCACGCUGUAAACGAUGUCGAUUUGGAGGUUGUGCCCUUGAGGCGUGGCUUCCGGAGCUAACGCGUUAAAUCGACCGCCUGGGGAGUACGGCCGCAAGGUUA